AACAAGGUGACUUGGGGCAUGGAGUCCCACUUCCUGGAGCCCCUACCCCAGCUUGUCACACACCAAC
ensembl:miRNA